rnacentral:rRNA from 1 species
UUCGACUGGGAGGGACUGUCCUCAGUGCCUUCCGACCGCGGGCGUACGCGGGCGGGGGUUCCCCUCGCGGGCUCUCAGGGUCUGUGGCUGCUCGGUCGGCACCUCAUCCGACCCGUCUUGAAACACGGACCAAGGAGUCUAACAUGUGCGCGAGUCGUUGGACUGUACCAAAUCUGAAGGCGCAAUGAAGGUGAAGGCCCUCCGUUCGGUGGGCCUAGGUCUGAUCCUCGCUCCGGCGGGGCGCAAGACUGGCCCGUCUCGAACCCCUCGUGGUUGAGGCGGAGCAAGAGCGUACACGUUGGGACCCGAAAGAUGGUGAACUAUGCCUGAGUAGGACGAAGCCAGAGGAAACUCUGGUGGAGGUCCGUAGCGAUUC